GACGAACGCUGGCGGCGUGCCUAAUACAUGCAAGUAGAACGCUGAAACUUGGUGCUUGCACCGAGCGGAUGAGUUGCGAGCGGGUGAGUAACGCGUAGGUAACCUGCCUGGUAGCGGGGGAUAACUAUUGGAAACGAUAGCUAAUACCGCAUAAGAGUAGAUGUUGCAUGACAUUUGCUUAAAAGGUGCAAUUGCACCACUACCAGAUGGACCUGCGUUGUAUUAGCUAGUUGGUGGGGUAACGGCUCACCAAGGCGACGAUACAUAGCCGACCUGAGAGGGUGAUCGGCCACACUGGGACUGAGACACGGCCCAGACUCCUACGGGAGGCAGCAGUAGGGAAUCUUCGGCAAUGGACGGAAGUCUGACCGAGCAACGCCGCGUGAGUGAAGAAGGUUUUCGGAUCGUAAAGCUCUGUUGUAAGAGAAGAACGAGUGUGAGAGUGGAAAGUUCACACUGUGACGGUAUCUUACCAGAAAGGGACGGCUAACUACGUG
rnacentral:rRNA from 1 species